AGCGGUGCCGGGUGUGCCCGUGUUGCGUCUCAGACAAUAACUAACUGGGGGCGGGGCGUUGCAUUUGUGGGUGUUUAUCGCUGGAGACCUUGUUGGUAACUUGGACACCAGUCAAACGCCUUCCCACUGGCCGGGACCACACGGGAGCCGCUGUGCGUGCUUGAUUGACGGUGAUUUUACCCAGCUGAGCUAGUUUCUGGGGUUCGCGCUUCCCCUGCGGGUGACGCGGGUGGGUGAGAGGAGCCGCCCCCGGCGCUGAGGAGAACGGAACUACGCGCACCUCGGCGGUUUUUGUUUUUGCACUGAAUGUAGCCAGGACGGAUCCUUGUGGGCUUUAGCAGCCCUAGGAAACUGUCAAAGGCACUAUUUUGCAUUUCUGCAGUUUUGCACAGAUUCUGUUCCCAUGCAAACCGAUGAGGGAGAAAUACUGGAGGAAGGCAGUCCCAAGGCUUUUGGGAACGCAUGAGGAGGCUGACUUGUGUGUGAGAAAUAUCAGAAAUGGGAAAAACACAUUAGCAUAUCUAGGCCCUCUUCCCAUCAUACAUUGGGCUAUAUUGUUUGCUAAAAUAGUGCUUUGUCUCAUUUCAUUUUAAAUGAUUGUAGGUAUGAGCCUUUCUUCCCUUCCAUUAGGAGACAUUUUUUUAAAAUUCAGUUGAUAUUUGAUUUAACUUUUCCUCUCAAUUUCAAUCUGCUGUUAUCUCAGUUGUAUCAUCUUGUACACAUUAAACUUUUCUGUGGUAUUUAUAAAUAUUUGGAUAACUAUUUUCUCUGAUUUCAAUUUUGUAUUCUAGGUGAACCAUGCAUGUUGUUUAGUUACAUGUAUGCAGGUAUAAAGGAACAAUUUUUAAAUUUAUAAGAAAAAAGUAAUUUCAAAGAACAAUAAGUGUGUCCUGGGGGAAACAAAGUGGAUUAUAUAUGGCUCUUUGUUCUGUGGAUGUUAACGGCUAGUCGGCUAAUGGUUUAACUGAUAAGUGAUUGUUUAUUGAUUUACGUCCUGGUUAACUGCAACAACCCCAUCUCCCCCCGUGCAUGCUCUUCAUUUAAAACUUGGACUGGCAGGCUGGCUCAGUCCCAGCCCACCAGUCAGAGUUUUCAAUGAGGAGCAUGCAGGGGAGCCACCUGCCACCUUACACAGUGCAGGAUGGCAGCAGCUCCUGUC